rnacentral:tRNA from 1 species
UGCAUCGGCCGGGAAUCGAACCCGGGCCGCCCGCAUGGCAGGCGAGAAUUCUACCACUGAACCACCGAUGC